GUGCCAGCAGCCGCGGUAAUACGGAAGGUCCGGGCGUUAUCCGGAUUUAUUGGGUUUAAAGGGAGCGCAGCGGAUGAUUAAGCGUGACGUGAAAUGUCCCGGCUCAACCGUGGAACUGCGUCGCGAACUGGUUAUCUUGAGUGAGUGCGACGUCGGCGGAAUUCGUGGUGUAGCGGUGAAAUGCUUAGAUAUCACGAAGAACCCCGAUUGCGAAGGCAGCCGACGAGUCCUUAACUGACGCUAAAGCUCGAAAGUGCGGGUAUCGAACAGGAUUAGAUACCCUGGUAGUCCGCACGGUAAACGAUGGAUGCCCGCUGUGUGCGAUACAGUGUACGCGGCCAAGAGAAAUCGUUAAGCAUCCCACCUGGGGAGUACGCCGGCAACGGUGAAACUCAAAGGAAUUGACGGGGGCCCGCACAAGCGGAGGAACAUGUGGUUUAAUUCGAUGAUACGCGAGGAACCUUACCCGGGCUUGAACUGCAGGAGAACGAUUCAGAGAUGAUGAGGUCCUUCGGGACUCCUGUGGAGGUGCUGCAUGGUUGUCGUCAGCUCGUGCCGUGAGGUGUCGGCUUAAGUGCCAUAACGAGCGCAACCCCUUCAUUAGUUGCCAGCAUGCAAUGGUGGGCACUCUAGUGAUACUGCCACCGUAAGGUGUGAGGAAGGUGGGGAUGACGUCAAAUCAGCACGGCCCUUACGUCCGGGGCUACACACGUGUUACAAUGGGUGGUACAGAGAGUCGGUCGUCUGCAAAUGCGAUCCAAUCAUGAAAGCCAUCCUCAGUUCGGAUUGGGGUCUGCAACCCGACCCCAUGAAGCUGGAUUCGCUAGUAAUCGCGCAUCAGCCAUGGCGCGGUGAAUACGUUCCCGGGCCUUGUACACACCGCCCGU
rnacentral:rRNA from 1 species